rnacentral:lncRNA from 1 species
AUGAAACAUGUCUCUGAGCAGUGUGCCAGCACACACAGACACAGGGCAGGCAGAGGGACCUGGAGCCAACGGCAUGGCAUCCCAUCUUGGCAUUCAUUCCAAUGCACUUCUGCUGCGUGCCACAUUUCUCAGGUGGGCAGAUGCAUGCGUGCUUCGCACGGCAUUACAAAGACAGCAUCAGUUCGAAAUUUCAUUAGUUUGCAAAAGAAAACAGCACAAUGCUUUCUCAUUCCUAUACACUGCGUGAAAGAAGUGGUGAUGAAGGGAGGAAGGGAGGAAAAAAGGGAGGAAGGGAGGAAAAAAAAAAAAAGAAGAAAAGACAGCGAGAAGCCCCGACGGGACGCCAACCCGCACUUACCAUCCCGGCUGCACUACCCGCCAGGCCCGGCCCGCCCCCUUUAUAAGCCGGCGGCAGCCGCAGCGCGGGGCUGGGCGCACCUGGCCCCGCCACCGCCCGCGGGCAGCGACCGCCCCUCGCCGGGGGGGACGGCCCGUCAGCGCGCUGCGGGCGGCCCGGCGGCUGCGGUUGGGCUGCGCCGUGGCGUGGGUUGUAGCAGCGCGGUUGAACCGGCGGGCCCGGGGUCAAACGGUUUUUGUAGCGAGUUUUCCCUCCGUCCCAUCGCUGGUUCUUUCUCCGGUUUGUCCUACGGCAGUGUGUCCGCCCGUCAGUCCGUGCUGCCCCGGACGCGGCGCCGUCCCUCGGCCCCGCACAGCCGUGGGCACCGGGCCCCUCCGAGCCGCGGGUGGGACGAGAGAAAUGCCCGAGUUGCUCCCUUGCCUUUCCUUCUACAGAAGUGAGAAAUGCCCCGGUCACAGAAGAGCCAGAUUUCAAGUGUGAUUUAGAGUUCAGCUUGGCUCUGCCGUUACUUCACAUUCCUCCUCAACCUGCAUCAGAGAGAUCAGAGAAGAGAGAUCAGACCGUUACGCCAGAAGCCACUAUUGCUUCCGUCUUCAUCAGCGUGCCUCAGGACCACACAGCAUUUCUACAGCGUUUAUGAUCUACCAAAGGUGAAAAAGGAACAAAGUAUGAUCGGUCCUGCCCUGCUGUGAGGAUAUCAACCUAAUUUGGUGAUUUGGGAUAUGAAGGGGCCCUCAGCACAGAACUGACCAGCUUUUUCCAUAUACGCCCAGAAAUGGUGAUAGCUGACAAUUGGGUCAGCCAUCAAGUUUGUAUCAAAUACUGUUAAAUAAAACCUUACUAAUAGUCAAAGCAAUUUCUCAUCUAAAUGAAAUCAGAUAAGACUAAGUCAUUUAUUCCAAAAUGUUUUACUACAAAUGAUGUGUAACUGAUUACAUCCAACUUUACUAGACAUGUUAUCAGUGAUUAAUAUGACACUAAUAUAUUAACUCUCUAAGAAAGGAAGAUCUUAUUGUUCCAAAUCUCUUUCUGAAUCAAAUUAUUGGUCUGCUACGUGGGUCAUUUCACAGCUGGCUCCGGCUUUUCUUGGUUUCGAUGCAGCAAUUAAUUCUGCUCAGAAUGAAGGAACAGAAAGAUGUCUUUAUUUCUGCAGUCUCUGGUUACAGCGUUACUUGAGAUUGAGAGAUUCAAAUACAUCUUUUUUUAGCACUGAACUUUUACAAUCCUUCGAGGUCAGGUGACUAACAAAAUAAGAAUACUUUCUGGCAAAGUAGAGUAAAUUAUUGAUUACGAUCACUGUGAAUUACAUUUAUUUUUAGUGACUGUAAAUAAGUAUUUUUGAAGUUUCAUCAAUUUCUGAUCCAAAUUUACAAUUCAUGUGUAUACAGGGAUGACAAAGCUUAAGUAUCCCUACAUAUACUCUGACUAAGAUCAGAGGAGCACCGGGAGGAGGUGUUCAAGCAGUUAUGCCUUACUUUGUUUCCCUGUUAGUACUUCUAACAGAACAACAACCUCCAAAAUCACUGUGGGUUGCUCUGGAAGCGUGAGGAUCUUUAUGGAAAGGCCUCAGACCUCCCAGGUCUGUGGUCCCUGUAAUGGUUUUUGGUGGGAACAAGCACCAAGAACAGUAGAUGAUGACUGAGUUGGAACCACUCAGGCAAAUCUGACACAUCCAACUCUUUGCAGCUGGAUGUGAUGCAACCCAGAGUGCUGUGAGAGCCAGCCAAUGUCACGUGGAGAUGGUUCUCGUGAUAAUUUAAAGGUGGUGAGCCAGAAAGCAGCAAAAGCAAAUGUCAGCACAUUUUGGUGUUGUCGGCCCUCACCUCUGCCCAUAGGAAGGCUAUGGAACAAAUCUUCCUGAAAGGGAGUUUCAGGCAUGUGGAGGAUAAGAAAGUGAUUGAAAACAGACGAAUAGCAAGGGGAUUUCCAAGUGGGCGUGAGGGAAAGACAAAAAUGGCAGCAAGGGCAUUUGUGCAGUGCAGUGGGUUGCCCAGAGUCUGUGGUAUUGCCGUCCUUGGGAACUUUCAGAACUCCACAGCAGUCCAGUCUGACUUCAAAGGCUUUAAGUAGGCAGUUGUAACAGUAGCAUAGAGAUGGUGCUGUUCUUAAGCCCCCGCUUCAUGUUUUCCACCUACAAUCAUAGAUUCAGGUAGUAGUGCCGCUGGAACACUGGUGCUUACAUGGAGCUUGAGGACUUCAGAAAUUUCUGGGUUUUACUGAGAACAAGGGUAAUAUUUUACUUACUGAAAACUUGCAGACAUUCAUAAUACAUAGGAAUUCAACAGCCAUUGCAACAUAUGUUCAUAAAACCACGCAACCUUAAGUUGACAAGGUUUGCAUUUUUACAAUUGAGGAGCCAGUGAGAGGUGCGUGCGCUGGAAUGCCCCAGUCCCAGCGUGCUCAGUGCUGGCUUACAAAGCGUCUGAUAGGAGCUGUGUCUGCUCAACUCUGUGAUUUUUUGUUAGCUCACAGUGGUUCCUAGAGAUGGUUUUUUGAGCAACCUGGUCUAGAGGGAGGUUGAAACUAGAUGAUUUUAAGGAUCCCUUCCAACCCAAACCNUACCUUAAUGAGUAAGGAAAUGUGGGCAGAAACUGCUGGUUGCAGUUUAAGUUUACAACAUCAAAAUUUCAACAACUUCCCUAUUCAGGGAAAAUUAAUAACAGUGUUUCCCAUUGGAAGGUAUCCAGUAUCUUUAAAAUGGUUAUUUGUUUUCUUUUAAUUAAUUCCUGCCAAUAUCUCUGAACGUUCAAAACUAGCUUUUAAAAUCCAAUGUGAAGUUGCUAUUGUUUUUGUAUUAUCAAAAAGGAAAGAUUAAUGACACAUUUCAGUAAUUGAGUAAUAAGUGGCUUUCUUCAUUGUUCAAGCUAUAUGUAAUCCUCAGUGGAUCUUAGAUGUAGGUUAAAAAGGUAUUUAAUGCCUGUUUUUCAGUUGCCAAGGGUCAAAAAUCACCUAGCUUGUAUAAAGAAAGAGGAAACAUCUGUUGGAAUAAUUUAUUUGGCUAACACAGAGGGUAGGAUUAAAAUUCACUGAUUUCUUUGGUCUGAUACUGAAUUUCAAUUAAACAAUGGAAGUAAUUGUUCAGUUGGACAAAAUUCCCUUUGCUUCACACUUGGGCACACUUGUGCGUAUCACUGAUUACUGCAUCUGACCAGGGAAUGCUCUGAUUUGUGAUUACUUCACAUCUGCCUGCACCCCAAGAAAGAAUAUUCUUGUAUUUUGACUUGUUUUGCAUCUUCCUAAACAUUUUAAAGAAUUCACAAACCAUUUGCUGAUUCUCAAGACUCUUUGGUUUCAGUGAUGUUCCACCAGCAACAAGAAUACGUUGCUGAGACAUUAGAAUAUGUCUUAAGAUGAGCAGUUACACAUGGAAUUGUGAUGUACGGCAGCCUCUGGCAUCCAGGAGAAGAGUCCUACUUUCAAAGCCUGUUUGAAAUAUCAAAUGCAUGGUGCCUUACUGUUGUUCACUAUCAUCUUUAUGUGAAUCAAAUUAUAAAG